AUGCACGCUGGCGGCGUGCCUAAUCCAUGCCAGUCGAGCGAACGGACGAGAAGCUUGCUUUUCUGAUGUUAGCGGCGGACGGGUGAGUAACACGUGGAUAACCUACCUAUAAGACUGGGAUAACUUCGGGAAACCGGAGCUAAUACCGGAUAAUAUUUUGAACCGCAUGGUUCCAAAGUGAAAGACGGUCUUGCUGUCACUUAUAGAUGGAUCCGCGCUGCAUUAGCUAGUUGGUAAGGUAACGGCUUACCAAGGCAACGAUGCAUAGCCGACCUGAGAGGGUGAUCGGCCACACUGGAACUGAGACACGGUCCAGACUCCUACGGGAGGCAGCAGUAGGGAAUCUUCCGCAAUGGGCGAAAGCCUGACGGAGCAACGCCGCGUGAGUGAUGAAGGUCUUCGGAUCGUAAAGCUCUGUUAUUAGGGAAGAACAUAUGUGUAAGUAACUGUGCACAUCUUGACGGUACCUAAUCAGAAAGCCACGGCUAACUACGUG
rnacentral:rRNA from 1 species